rnacentral:rRNA from 1 species
UACAGAGGGGGCAAGCGUUGUUCGGAAUUACUGGGCGUAAAGGGCGCGUAGGCGGCCUGCUAAGUCGAACGUGAAAUCCCCGGGCUCAACCCGGGAACUGCGUCCGAUACUGGCAGGCUUGAAUCCGGGAGAGGGAUGUGGAAUUCCAGGUGUAGCGGUGAAAUGCGUAGAUAUCAGGAAGAACACCCGUGGCGAAGGCGGUUCUCUGGAACGCAACUGACGCUGAGACGCGAAAGCGUGGGGAGCAAACAGG